rnacentral:rRNA from 1 species
UACGUAGGGUGCGAGCGUUGUCCGGAAUUAUUGGGCGUAAAGAGCUUGUAGGCGGUUUGUCGCGUCUGCCGUGAAAAUUCGAGGCUCAACCUCGAACUCGCGGUGGGUACGGGCAGACUAGAGUGUGGUAGGGGAGACUGGAAUUCCUGGUGUAGCGGUGAAAUGCGCAGAUAUCAGGAGGAACACCGAUGGCGAAGGCAGGUCUCUGGGCCACUACUGACGCUGAGGAGCGAAAGCAUGGGGAGCGAACAGG